UGAGUAAAGGCCUGUCCAACCAUUGGUACAGGCUUCAGAGGCUGAGAGAACUGCAUCACUUGAUGAUAACGCUGCUGAGGCGUCUUUGGUUUCUCAAGGGUCUUGCAGGAGAGAGAUGGGCCAGACGAUUUGACACUUCCCGUUACUGCCUGAUGAAGAGCUGUAUCUGCACUCACAUUUGUACAGGUUUGAAGUUUUAACAAAUUGAAAUCAUCCUGGGGAUUAUGUUGCUUAGUCAUUUCCCUAUCUAUUGCUGAUGCUGAACAUCAGGCUUCAAGGCACCAGUUAUCAGCAUACCUGAGAGGCACCGCGGUGGUCCGCCCAUGUGUUGAUCUGGACAGCGAUGGAAGUCUGAAAUCAUCUC